AGGGAAUCAAAACGGCUCCUUCGAAAAGAGCCUGUUGGGUAAACCCAGCCUCAGAGACACAAAUGCAUCUGGUUCCAGUAAAUAUUACGGCCCCUUGUUCAUGAAACGCUCUUCUGCUGCUUGGAGAGCACGGAGCAUGCUGUGUUGACAGGCACAGCAGCGCCAUGCCCAGGCUGAGCACACAAACCUCCCCAGCACCCCUGGCCAAUGCUGCCAGGGAAAUGCACGACCUGCAGCCCCACAUGGCUCGCUGCACAGACCCUGGGGGGCUGUCUUAGUCUCAGGUGGGAUCGAUUUUUCUUCAAUGUCUGCUAUGAUGCUACAACUGUGAUAACACUCUGACGUUUAGAGUUUCUGAUAAGCAGCCUUGUACAGAGCCAAGGCCGUUCUCAGCAAAGCUCUCAAGAAGGAGCUGGGAGGAAACCAAAUUAGGACAGCUGCCGUCAACGGGCCAAAGGGAUAUUCCAUACCACAUGACAUCAAGUGGAAGGGGCUUUGAAGGGCCUGGGAGUUCAUCUCACUCUCUUCCUCUGCUUGGCCAUUGGUUGGGAGGUGCUGAGCCACUGCUUCUACAUCACUUGUUAUAUACAUCCAUACAUAGAUAUAUAUACAUAUAUGCAUAUAUAUGUGUAUAUAUGUAUAUAUUAUAUAUAUAUAUAUAUAUAUAUUUAUAUAUAUAUGUAUGUAUCCAUUACCUCUGUCCUUUUCUCUACUUUUGGAAAGAGAUUUCUCUCAACACACAAGUUCCACCUUUUUUUUCUUUUUUUUUUUUUCCCCCCAUAAUUCUCUCCCCCAUCCCACUGGGAAGGGGGCAGUAAGCAAAGGACUGUGUGGUGCUGAGCCACCCACCGGCUUAAACCACAACAGGGCCGUGGGGCAAUGCCAGCAGACGUGAAGUGCACUGGGCUCAGCAGGAAAUGAAAACCAUCUGGAGGUACGCAAGCCCACUCUUUCAUUUUCCAGAAAACAACCUAUGGUGUCAAUGAAACAUGCCCCUCACUAGGAACAUCUGCAAGGAUGCUUUGAAUGACUGAG
rnacentral:lncRNA from 1 species